rnacentral:misc_RNA from 1 species
GAAAUGCGAUAAGUAGUGUGAAUUGCAGAAUUCAGUGAAUCAUCGAAUCUUUGAACGCACAUUGCGCCCUUUGGUAUUCCAAAGGGCAUGCCUGUUCGAGCGUCAUUUGUACCCUCAAGCUUUGCUUGGUGUUGGGCGUUUUUGUCUUUGGCCCGCCAAAGACUCGCCUUAAAAUGAUUGGCAGCCGGCCUACUGGUUUCGCAGCGCAGCACAUUUUUGCGCUUGCAAUCAGCAAAAGAGGACGGCAAUCCAUCAAGACUCCUUCUCACGUUUGACCUCGGAUCAGGUAGGGAUACCCGCUGAACUUAAGC